AGCUCAAUGAAUACUAAUAUCUAAACAUGCAGGAGCUACUUCAAAGAGGAGGGUGUCGAGAAAAGUGUUGAAUGCUAAAGUUACUCAGUGUUCCGUUUGUAGUCGAGCUAAAGGCACCUAACCAUAGUGCAGUCUACUAUACACAAGAAGAAAGAAAAACCCUUUUAAAAUGAAACACACUCCUCCCACAUCUUGGUAAGAUCCAAGAAAGCAUAGUGUUCACAGCACUUUCCUCUUAAACCUCUGUGGGAUCAGUCAUAUGAUCUGAUGUCAAAUCCCAGCAAUUUAAAUGUUUAAACUCUUAGAAACUUUAUCAAAGGAAGGUCAACAUGAUUAAUUUUUUCUUUUUCUGUUGCCUGACAGGUGUCUGUCUGGGUGUAGAGGUCCGUCAGACUCCCUCUGAGUUCAUCACUGAUGUCGGAUCCAAAGUGCAGAUUUUCUGCAGCCAUGAAAAGACCGACUACAGGAUGAUGCUCUGGUACCAGCAGUCACCUGGAGAGACAGCUAUGAAACUCAUUGGGUUUUUAAACGUCAACACUCCAAAAUUUGAAGAUGAAAAUAACGAUAAUUUUGAAAUCGGUGGCGAUCUGAGUGGGAGUACAGCAAAAAACGGUUCUCUGAUAGUCAAGAAAGCUCAAGGACAAGAGCACAGUGCAACGUACUAUUGUGCAGCAAGUAAAGCACAAUGA